GCACCACGUACUUCCGUGUACCCAGCAUGCCGUUUCAGAAACAUGGCGGCUGAGUUUUCAUAACAUCGAUGCCUUUGCGGUCAGUCGUUCGCCCAUUGCACUUUUGAGAAAAUAAACAAGACAAGAGUUGUGUUGCAGUGGAUUUCACACCAUGCCGAAGUAUUACGAAGAGAAAGAGACGGAUGACAGAGCCUGUGCUGGAGUCAGAGAAGACUUUAGAGAAUGUCUCCUUCAACACAACUGCGUUGUAAAGGAGGGGAAACUGCCCAGCCAGUGUUUGAAGGAAGGCCACUGCAAAGCCCUGCAGACGUCAUUCUUUGAGUGCAAGAGGUCGAUGCUGGACACGAGGUCACGAUUCAGAGGAAGGAAAGGAUAUUGAGGAACCAAUGAAAUGCUGAUGUUGCUGUGUGGUUGAGGUUCCGGGUUGAGCAGCUGUAAAUACUUCUUGUUCACGGAGCCCUCGCAGUUUACUCGGUAGAGACGGAUCCAACUUCACCGCCAGAGCCAGGUUGGUGAGCGGCGCUGUGGCAACCAGAGACACCUGGGGAAUAAACACAGAUGUAACACGUGCAGGAAAUGUUUUUUUUUUUAAUUGAGCGUUGUCUCUAUCACACCUCUCACCUCUCCUGGGUUUUCAUUGACGAUCCUGAUCAUCGCUGACACGGCGCCCUCCUUCUGAACCAUAUCCAGACCGGGGGGGUUGGGGUCAGGAGCGUCUCCGAGCCCGUCCUGCCCAUGGAAGUGUCCCGCAUCAAUGGUGUUCCCAAGAAUCGGCUUAGCAGCACCUUUAAACACUGGAAUCUGGCACACGAGAGAAGAGUCAAUUAAUGCUUUAUUGCUGUUCUUAGUUAUCGUUACAAACUAUUAGAAUUUGGGAAAUAUGAAUAAAUAGUCAAUUCCAUGGGAUGAUAUAAAUUUAGAGACAUUUACGUAUAUUGCAAUUCUUUUAAUAAUAAAUACACUUUUUUAUAUUUUAUUGCCAUCAUACUGUUAUUUUAACAUGAGGAAGACAGUAUUUUCACCAGUCCUUUGACUUUUCCUAUUAUUUUAUCUAUGGAGACGAAAUGACGUUUCCAGAAAGUUUACUAUAUCCUGAUAUAAUGUAUUAGUUUUUCUAAAUAACAUGUAUGACUUGGCUAAAGCCCAAACAACCCUACUACUACAAGAUGAACAAUGAAAGUUUCUAAAUUAAAAUCGAAACAUUUGCAAAGGAGCACAUUUGUUCUUCAUCAAUAAAUAUCAGUUUGAAUAUU